rnacentral:rRNA from 1 species
UACGUAGGGUGCGAGCGUUGUCCGGAAUUAUUGGGCGUAAAGGGCUCGUAGGCGGUUUGUCGCGUCGGGAGUGAAAACCCAGGGCUUAACUCUGGGCUUGCUUUCGAUACGGGCAGACUAGAGGUAUGCAGGGGAGAACGGAAUUCCUGGUGUAGCGGUGAAAUGCGCAGAUAUCAGGAGGAACACCGGUGGCGAAGGGCGGUUUUCUGG